GACGAACGCUGGCGGCGUGCUUAACACAUGCAAGUCGAACGGAAAGGCCUUUUCGGAGGUACUCGAGUGGCGCACGGGUGCGUAACACGUGGGUGAUCUGCCCUGCACUCUGGGAUAAGCCUGGGAAACUGGGUCUAAUACCGGAUAGGACCGCACUUUAGUGUGUGUGGUGGAAAGUUUUUUCGGUGUAGGAUGAGCCCGCGGCCUAUCAGCUUGUUGGUGGGGUAAUGGCCUACCAAGGCGGCGACGGGUAGCCGGACUGAGAGGUUGGUCGGCCACAUUGGGACUGAGAGACGGCCCAGACUCCUACGGGAGGCAGCAGUGGGGAAUAUUGCACAAUGGGCGCAAGCCUGAUGCAGCGACGCCGCGUGGGGGAUGACGGCCUUCGGGUUGUAAACUCCUUUCGCCAGGGACGAAGCGUUUUGUGACGGUACCUGGAGAAGAAGCACCGGCUAACUACGUG
rnacentral:rRNA from 1 species